CGUGUAGGUGGUACUGUAAGUAGGGCGUGAAAGCUCCCGGCUCAACUGGGAGAGGCCGUUCUAAACUGCAGAACUAGAGGAUGGUAGAGGGAGGUGGAAUUCCAGGUGUAGCGGUGGAAUGCGCAGAUAUCUGGAGGAACACCAGUGGCGAAGGCGGCCUCCUGGACCAUUCCUGACACUCAGACGCGAAAGCUAGGGUAGCAAACGG
rnacentral:rRNA from 1 species